rfam:Salinicoccus halodurans strain H3B36, complete genome.
CAAUACCACUAGGGGUGCUUUUUGCUGAGACAGCCACCCGGCUGAUCCCUUAGACCUGAUCUGGAUAAUACCAGCGUAGGAAAGUGGGUUAGUCCGGCA